rnacentral:rRNA from 1 species
CCUACGGGAGGCUGCAGUGGGGAAUAUUGGACAAUGGGGGCAACCCUGAUCCAGCCAUGCCGCGUGUGUGAAGAAGGCCCUCGGGUUGUAAAGCACUUUCAGUGAGGAAGAACGCCUGGUGGUUAAUACCCAUCAGGAAAGACAUCACUCACAGAAGAAGCACCGGCUAACUCCGUGCCAGCAGCCGCGGUAAUACGGAGGGUGCGAGCGUUAAUCGGAAUUACUGGGCGUAAAGCGCGCGUAGGUGGCUUGAUAAGCCGGUUGUGAAAGCCCCGGGCUCAACCUGGGAACGGCAUCCGGAACUGUCAAGCUAGAGUGCAGGAGAGGAAGGUAGAAUUCCCGGUGUAGCGGUGAAAUGCGUAGAGAUCGGGAGGAAUACCAGUGGCGAAGGCGGCCUUCUGGACUGACACUGACACUGAGGUGCGAAAGCGUGGAUAGCAAACAGGAUUAGAUACCCCGGUAGUC